CAGGGGGGGCAAGCGUUGUUCGGAAUUACUGGGCGUAAAGGGUUCGUAGGUGGCCAACUAAGUCAGACGUGAAAUCCCUCAGCUUAACUGGGGAACUGCGUCUGAUACUGGAUGGCUUGAGUGCAGGAGAGGAAUGCGGAAUUCCAGGUGUAGCGGUGAAAUGCGUAGAUAUCUGGAGGAACACCGGUGGCGAAGGCGGCAUUCUGGACUGCAACUGACACUGAUGAACGAAAGCCAGGGGAGCAAACGGGAUUAGAUACCCCGGUAGUCCUGGCCCUAAACGAUGAAUGCUUGGUGUAACGGGUAUCGAUCCCUGUUGUGCCGAAGCUAACGCAUUAAGCAUUCCGCCUGGGGAGUACGGUCGCAAGGCUG
rnacentral:rRNA from 1 species